rnacentral:rRNA from 1 species
AGAACGAACGCUGGCGGCAUGCCUAACACAUGCAAGUCGAACGAAGGCUUCGGCCUUAGUGGCGCACGGGUGAGUAACACGUGGGAACCUGCCUCUUUGUUCGGAAUAACAUCGGGAAACUGGUGCUAAUACCGGAUACGCCCUACGGGGGAAAGAUUUAUCGCAGAGAGAGGGGCCCGCGUCCGAUUAGGUAGUUGGUGGGGUAAUGGCCUACCAAGCCCGCGAUCGGUAGCUGGUCUGAGAGGAUGAUCAGCCACACUGGGACUGAGACACGGCCCAGACUCCUACGGGAGGCAGCAGUGGGGAAUAUUGGACAAUGGGCGGAAGCCUGAUCCAGCAAUGCCGCGUGAAUGACGAAGGCCUUAGGGUUGUAAAGUUCUUUCGUCGGGGACGAUGAUGACGGUACCCGAAGAAGAAGCCCGGCUAACUUCGCGCCAGCAGCCGC